rnacentral:rRNA from 1 species
AGAUUGAACGCUGGCGGCAUGCCUAACACAUGCAAGUCGAACGGGAGUAGCAAUACUCUAGUGGCGGACGGGUGAGGAAUACGUAGGAAUUUGCCCUUAAGUGGGGGAUAACCCGGGGAAACCCGGAUUAAUACCGCAUGACCUCGAAAGAGCAAAGUGGGGGAUCGCAAGACCUCACGCUUUUGGAGAAGCCUACGUCGGAUUAGCUAGUUGGUGAGGUAAUGGCUCAACCAAGGCGAC